ensembl:snoRNA
AACAUGCUUCCUUAGAUCCACCUUUGUGGAUAUCAAUCUCAAACUGAGUUUUACGGGUAAACUUUGGUUUCCUGUAGUUCCAGUGAAAGAAAUAUCCAGCAACUUUUUUGGUUGUAUAGUCAAAGGUGCUUGAGUCAUUGGCAUGUGAGGUCAAUGUAUCUGCAAGUUAGUCUUAGGUUCUGAUAGAAAUGACAUGCAAUUAUGCUGCCAUUCUUGACUAUCAGGACAUGACUGGUGUGCAGACACU